rnacentral:rRNA from 1 species
GACGAACGCUGGCGGCGUGCUUAACACAUGCAAGUCGGACGCAGUUGCGAACGGGUGAGUAACGCGUAGGUAACUACCUAUUAGAGGGGGAUAACUAAUGGAAACGAUAGCUCAUACCGCAUACUAGUAGAUGGACCUGCGUUGUAUUAGCUAGUAGGUAGGGUAAUGGCCUACCUAGGCAACGAUACAUAGCCGACCUGGGAGGGUGAACGGGCAAACCGGGGCUGGGGCACGGCCCAGGCUCCUACGGGAGGCAGCAGUAGGGGAACUUCGGGAAAUGGGGGAAAGCUGGCCGGGCAACGCCGGGUGAGGGAAGAAGGUUUUCGGAACGUAAAGCUCUGUUGUUAAGGGAGCGGUACUUAACCAGAAAGUGACGGCUAACUACGUGCCAGCAGCCGCGGUAAUAC